CUGACCCUUGGGAACAAUUUGAUCUUUGAGCCACAUGUAAAUUGGAACUAGUACAAAGUAUGCUGCUGCUAAUGUCCCAAGAAUAAAUCGUGAAAGGAACACCAAAGGAUGAACAGGUUUCUGAACAUCUUCUGCCUUCGGACCCAUCUGCAAUAACAUUUAUAUGUCAUUAGUACUAAGGACCCAAAAGACCCAGCCAACUUUAUGUUCUUAUAUAUGAAAGUAAGCUACCUUCAAUGGAGAGUCUCCGCCGAAGGGCUUCACUCCAGUGACAGAGCAACCCAUGAUCAAGCCAUGUCUUCGGACACCACGGUACCAUUUCGGACCAAUCCUUUUCAGCUUUACAUCUUUGAAACCAGCCUUUUUAAACCAUUCAAUAUAUUCUUCCUCUUUCGGAAAGAGCAUCCAUACAUCCGCAAAAAACCGUGAUAACCAGAAUGUUGGGUGUACAGGACCAAUAAGACAGGCUUUCCCUCCUAUUUUCAGUACCCUGU
rnacentral:lncRNA from 1 species